rnacentral:rRNA from 1 species
AUGGCAUAACGAGGGCUUAGCUGUCUCCUUUUUCCAGUCAAUGAAAUUGAUCUCCCCGUGCAGAAGCGGGGAUAAUUACAUAAGACGAGAAGACCCUAUGGAGCUUUAGACACUAAAGUGGAUCAUGUUAAUGAACCUAAAUAAAGGAUUGAACAAGAUGGAACCCACCCUGAUGUCUUUGGUUGGGGCGACCGCGGGGAACUAAAUAACCCCCAUGUGGAAUGGGAGCACCCCUCCUACAGCUGAGAGUUACAACUCUAAUAAACAGAACUUCUGACCAAAAAGAUCCGGCAAUGCCGAUCAACGGACCUAGUUACCCUAGGGAUAACAGCGCAAUCCUCUUUUAGAGCCCAUAUCGACAAGGGGGUUUACGACCUCGAUGUUGGAUCAGGACAUCCUAAUGGUGCAGCCGCUAUUA